CCUACGGGCGGCAGCAGUGAGGAAUAUUGGUCAAUGGACGAGAGUCUGAACCAGCCAAGUAGCGUGAAGGAUGACUGCCCUAUGGGUUGUAAACUUCUUUUAUAUGGGAAUAAAAUGUUCCACGUGUGGGAUUUUGUAUGUACCAUAUGAAUAAGGAUCGGCUAACUCCGUGCCAGCAGCCGCGGUAAUACGGAGGAUCCGAGCGUUAUCCGGAUUUAUUGGGUUUAAAGGGAGCGUAGGUGGAUUGUUAAGUCAGUUGUGAAAGUUUGCGGCUCAACCGUGAAAUUGCAGUUGAAACUGGCAGUCUUGAGUACAGUAGAGGUGGGCGGAAUGCAUGGUGUAGCGGUGAAAUGCUUAGAUAUCACGAAGAACUCCGAUUGCGAAGGCAGUUCACUGGACUGCAACUGACACUGAGGCUCGAAAGUGUGGGUAUCAAACAGGAUUAGAUACCCGGGUAGUC
rnacentral:rRNA from 1 species